GACGAACGCUGGCGGCGUGCUUAACACAUGCCAGUCGAACGGUGAAGCGCCUUCCUUUUUGGUGGGUGUGGAUGAGUGGCGAACGGGUGAGUAACACGUGAGUAACCUGCCCCCUUCUUCUGGAUAACCGCAUGAAAGUGUGGCUAAUACGGGAUAUUCUGGGUCUGUCGCAUGAUGGGUCUGGGAAAGAUAUUGUUUCGGUGGGGGAUGGGCUCGCGGCCUAUCAGCUUGUUGGUGGGGUGAUGGCCUACCAAGGCGGUGACGGGUAGCCGGCCUGAGAGGGUGGACGGUCACACUGGGACUGAGACACGGCCCAGACUCCUACGGGAGGCAGCAGUGGGGAAUAUUGCACAAUGGGCGAAAGCCUGAUGCAGCGACGCCGCGUGAGGGAUGGAGGCCUGCGGGUUGUGAACCUCUUUCGCCAGUGAAGCAGGCCUGCCUCGUUUGUGGGUGGGUUGACGGUAGCUGGAUAAGAAGCGCCGGCUAACUACGUG
rnacentral:rRNA from 1 species